rnacentral:tRNA from 1 species
ACCUAGCUGGUUCCAUCGGUAGAGCAUGUGACUCUUGAUCUCAGGGUUGUGAGUUUGAGCCCCACGUUGAGUG